rnacentral:lncRNA from 1 species
CUCAAUCAUCAUCUUGAGGGUCAGAGGAGUUUUAUUGGUGUAUAUUUUGAGAGAGGGAGAGGGAGAGGGAGAGAGAGAGAGAGAGAGAGGCAUAUUCAUGCCCUCAAUCAUCAUCUUGAAUUUGAGAUGAGUUUUAUUGGUCUAUGUUGUGAGAAGGGGGGAGGGGGAGAGAGAGGCUUGCUCCCACAAUGUUGAUUCAACACUGUUCAUACUCUCAAUCAUCAUCUUCAACAUAGGGGGAAGAGAGAGAGAGGCUUGCUCCCACGAUGUUGAUUCAGCACUGUUCAUACCUUCAAUCAUCAUCUCGGAUAUCACAUAAAUUCUGAAUUUCCUUAUAUCCUAUGUCUUUUGAGCAAGCAUCACAAUCAGUUAAGUUCAUGGCCCAAACUAGUAUUUGGGUUCAGAGUAGUUGUACAUAAAUUCUGAAUUUCAUGUCCUAUAUCUUCUGAGCAGAUUGCAAUUAGUGGAGUUUAAACAUUUUGUUCUCUCUGCCUCACAGGUUUUAAGCUCUAUUUUUCUCCAAUUUCGACUAGUAUACCUUUGAUGGUUAAAUUCCUUAUUCUCUGUACAUUUUCUUGAGCUUCAAGCAUCUUUCAAUUUUUUUUGUCAUUAUUUACAAUUUUAUGAAGCCAGAGAAAUUGCGUUAUUCUGUCUUUUGAAUUUCGCUCUUUUGAUCCUUGCUGUUCAUAAAAAUAAUUAUCCUUUGUUAAAAAUUUCUAAGUUUCCGGGGGCAUUUAUGUAAGCAGGAUCUUAAUGCUUCUAAUGUGGAGAAGAAUACACCACUUCAUUGGGCUUGCUUAAAUGGGCAUAUUGAGGUAAUAAUUUAUUUUGUCUAAGCAUGAUAGUCACUUACAAAUAUAUAUAUAUAUAUAUAUAUAUAUAUAUAUAUAUAUAUAUUUGGAUUAAGCAUUGCUCUCUUUUUUCAUUUAAUUUUUUUUUUCAGGUGGUUAAAAAUCUGAUUCUUGCUGGAGCAAAUGUAACUGCACUAAAUAGGUGUGCUGUCUAUGAUCUUAUAUGUUGUUUAUUUAUUUUACUUAUAUGGAAAUUAUUGGUAUGAAGACAUGUUUUAUUUCUCAUAUAAAUCAUUGCGGCAUUGGAUGAUAUUCAGCCAUGAGAGGACUCCAAUGGAUGAAGCAGUAAGUAGGGGAAAGAUGGAUGUUAUUGACGCAAUUAAUGCAGCUGUGGCACAAGUUGAACUUACUGGCAUUGGGGUUUCUGAAACUUAAAGAUGUGUAAUGGUUUUUGUAGUUUGUAUCUGUUGGUUAUAGUAUACAAGCUUUUAAGUUGAAAAUUUUGGUGAGCGAAUUCUCGCCGUUCCUUGUGAGCUGUGACAGCUCUUUCUUUCAUGGUUAACUACCCACUUUGAGUAAAUAUACUGUCUUGGUGGAUUUGGGGGUCUCAUCGCUCUAUUGUGUUUACUAAUGGUUUUGACAUGUUGAGAACUAUGAAAGGAGUUUUGGUUGGCUUAGAAGCUUGAGGUCCGCUUUCCAUGUUAUGAACUUUAGGUGUUCCUUAGGAAGUUACUAAGAACCCGUUUGAUAAUGAUUUUACGAAGUGUUUCUAUCAUUUUUAACACUUAAAAUUUUGUAUCAUUUAAACUGUUAGAAAGACUAGAAGCAUUUUCUAGAAUUGCUAUUAAACGUACUCGAAGUCACCUUUUCCUGAUUUUUAACUUGUUAUGUUUAAAAAUGUUACAUGCCUUAGAAGUUAGAAGUUAGAAGUUAGAAAUUAAAAAAAAGAUAAAAAUACAAACCCGAACAUUUAAAGAGUUUGAAAGAAUGAGAUUUUAUUUAGGUUGAGAUUAUUUCAUUCUUAAAAUAUUCAAUAAUUGAAAUUAAGUGGGAACCCAAUGUAAUGAAUAUUACAAAAUUUUACAUUCUUGUUACAUAGUUCAGCAUAUGCUACUAAAAAAAGUUAGAAAAAUUGUAUAUUCAAGGUUGAAGACCAAAGCUUUCCGUAUGGAGGAAGGCAAGAUGUAAACCACCCACUUCAUUCAAUGCUGGUUUGGUGAGUAGGGAUGAUAAUGAAGGUCUCCUCUUUGGGCUAUAUAUUGUUCUUUACUUUUUAGCUUAAGAAAUUUAUAAAGUCAUUUUAGUGAUCCUGGGUGAAAGCUAUGUUGGAUCUUAUGGUUUUAAGGUUGCUUUCACACUACUUAUUCGCUGGGGUGUAGUCAAUGUGAAAGUUUCUACGUUUGGUGGUAAUUGUAAUUUAGAGUCUAUCAUGAAAGCAAAUCCCUUCUUCCAUUUGCUAUUUUAGGCCAAUUACAAUCUAUAUAAAUAAAAUAGUUUGGCUACAAAUCAAUGAAAAAGUUAAAUACAAAGGUUAAUGAUUUAAAUUAAUUUUAAAUUAAAUUAUAUUUAAUUAUUUAAUUCUUAUUUUAAGUAUUAUAGUUGUUGGAUAAAAUUAACUUAAAACCUAUUUAAUGUCAUCAAAUUGACAUAUUUAUUCUAAUAAAUUAUAAUUAGAGUUAAAAAAAAAGUGGAGUAAUAAUAAAGGUGGUAAGAUAGUAAAAGAGAUUUUGAAGGUAAUUAGGAUAAAUAAGGGUAAAAAAGUAAAAUAAAAAUAUAUACUUAAAAAUAAUUUAAUUAUUUUUACUUAAAGUUAUUUUUUACCUUAAUUCAUACCAUUUUAAUUUACUUUAUAAUUUAAAUUAAAUUAUUAAGUUACUACAAAUAUAAAACAAAGUCACGUACUUACAAAUUUCUUCAAACCUUCUCUCCUCCACCGCUAUAUAUAUAUAAUAAAUUUAGUAAAAUCUAAAUCAUUAAAUGAAAGUAUGAAAAAAAAACCAUUUAUAAUAUUAACAAAUGUUUUUUAUUAUUUAUAUUUUUUUUCCAUUUAGAAGAGUAGAAAACAAUUUUCGCUCCAGCUCCCAAGGCUUUGUAAUGGUUUGAACGGUUCCUUUUUAUGCAGCUUCUUGCAAUUGGCCUAUUUUAAGCUUGCAUUGUGUAAAUAAUAAUUAAUUUGGUGUACCAUUUCCAUGUAUAACUUGAUUUUAGAAAGAGUAUAUGAGAUCUUGAUUACAAGGAUUAUUAUCAACUCAAAUCUAUGAUCAAACUCUAAUAUCACUGGUUAAAUUUCAAAUUUCUAUCCUUAUGUUUUGUUCUAGGAAAAUAUUAAAGAAAAAUUAUUAAAAAAUAAUUUUCUCUGAUUUUAUUAUGAAAUAUAUAUAUAUAUAUAUAUAUUAAAAAAUUAUACACAAUCAUAUUCUUUAUGUAACCUCUCGUUAUUCUCAUUAUUUACUUUUGCACCUAUUCUUCACAAUCAUUGGUUUCAAUCUAUCUCACGUUACUCACUCAAAUAUUGUAUCUCCAAUCUCUACCUUGAUUAUACACGAUCAUAUUCGCUAUAUAUCCUCUUAUUAUUUUCAUUAUUUUCUAUUACACCUAUUUUUCGUAAUCAAUGUUUUCAAAAUUGAAUCAAUCAUUAAACUAGAAAAUUUAUUGAUUUAUAGUUCAUUGGUCAAACCGACAAUCGAACUACGGUUGAACCAACGAUUGAACUGGUGACGUCAUAAAUAUAUAUUUUAUAUAUUAUUUAAUUAAAAAAUAAUAAAUAAUAAUAAAUAAAAUAUGGAAAUGAUUCAAUUUUAAAUGCAAUAAAUAAAUCAACCAAAAAUUAUAAAUCAACAAAAAAUUAAAACAAAAAAUAUAAAAAUAUUAAAUAUUAAAGUUCAAAAAUAAAAACUUAAGUUUUAAACUAAUAAAUGGAUUUGAGCCAUAGCUAACAGCUAAUAGCCUCAAAAAAAUGGAUUUGAGCCACAAAAAUUAUUAGUAAUAUUUAAUAAACUCAUAGAUAACAACCACAAAAAAAUGGAUUUGUUGCAAGGAGAGUGGUUGGGUCGGGAGCUGGAGCAAGGAGAGGGGCGGUUGAGGGGCGGGGGGAGGGGAAUUAAAAAGGGUUGAAUCGUUCAGUUUGAAGGGAAUUGAUCGGUUCGUCUGGUUCAUUAGUUUAACCAUUGGUUCACCCAGUCUGAUGUCGGUUCAAUCCUUAGUCGGUUCAACUCACUAGACCGAUCGACGGUUGGAUCGAUUGGACCGGUCAAUUCGGUUCGAUUUUAAAAUAGUAUAAAAAAAAUUAAUUUAUUAACUUUUUUUAUUUUCUCUAUAUUUCCUUUAAAAAUUCAAUAAUUUAAGAGUUGGUGUAUUGAGUAGUAAUUAUGAAGGCAAGACUUGAAUCGCUAAAUCCAUAUUAUUAUGAUGGGAGGCAAAAGAAUACUAAAAGGAGCACUGGGGAGAGGACAAGUGCAUUUAUUUAAGUCGAGAAUGUUACAAAUUGCAGUUGAGGGGAGGCAUAUUUAAGAACAUGUGUACCAUCUUGUUGUUGAGUUGGUAAACAAGAAUAUGGGUCCAUAAUUACCCUCGGGUGAGACUGAAAUCUUUAAGUACAUUUUCAGUCAUGACGUCUCAAGACUGAAACCAUUUUCUCUUGAGCUUUGUCUGGGCCAGGCGUUGGUGGAGCCCUUCUCACACUCCUCUCUCAACAAUCCAAAUUUCUUUUUUUAAAAUAAAGGUUUGAUUGAUUUCCCAUUAAGACUUGCAUUAUCUUCUCUUUAGAGUAAUCCCACCAUAAAUAAAGCUCUCUUUUAAUGACCUCCGUAGAAUUCGUAGAGGUGAUGUGCGAUGAGGAAUUUACUAGUGGUGGCCAUUUGUGACCACCAUAAAAUGUCUACUCAAAUCUUUUCCUCUAUGUAAAUAUGGAACUUAAGAAAGAGUUUCAAGUAAGGCCUAAAUAUAACUCUAUCUGAGCUAGGCUCAUAUCACCACCCCUACCACUUUGGGAUGAUCAUGAGAAAUCCCUUGGUGUACAAGCAAUAGGAAAAUUACCCACUUAGAAUUUCUGAGUAGUAAUAGAACUUCAAUAUCACAUUCCUACUUGAAUUUUAAUGAACAAAAAUGGACAAUUGAAGACCCUAAAGGACUAGAACCAACAAGCUUGAAAAAGAAGAAAACCAAACCAAUAUAUGAUCAUAUCCUUCAAUUAUAGUACUUUAUUGUUGAUGGUGGAAAAAGUUCAAGGUUCUUUUCCAUGGGAGGGGAGGGAGGCUAGCUAUGAGUCUAUGACCUAAAACAAAGCCUCCUCAACAAAAUAUGAAUUGGGGGUAGGGGUCUCAUGAGGUCUCUAGCCUUUUGAAGCCUAGCCGUACAUUGUGAUUCUUCAUUAAAGAAGAGGUUCAUGAUUCCACUCAUACAACGCAAGAAAAGGAACCCAUCUCAUUAUCACUAGCUACCAAACUCACUACAUAAAUUAAUUCAUUGGGGUGGUCUCUAGCUCCUAUAUAUAUAUAUAUAUAUAUAUAUAGAAGAAAUGGGUUUUUUUUUAGGGGGAUGGUAUGGAUGGGUACGAAAAGAAGAAGAGAAAAAGUGUAGGGUGGGCAAUAAAAUUGAGGAAAAAAAUGGUAGAGAAAAAUGAUAUUGGAAUCCAUGUGAUGGUUGAUAAGACCCCAAUACCAGUUUUGAUAAAGAAGAUGAAAUCCCACAGAUUAUGAAGGCACUGAAAGGCGCAGGUUUUCCUUUAACCAUCAAAAUCAUCCUUUACCAAUUAUCCUUUUCAUGGGUCAUCAUCAACAUCUAUCUCACUCAGAAUCCUUUGGGAUUAAACUCCAAGGACCACCCACUCCUUUUUUCUUUUAUCGUUUUGCUGAAUAAGAAUCAACUACCCACAGUCCCAUUGGAAUAUUAUUUUAUCAAAAUUAAAUUCAAAGAAAUGCUGCACUACCCCUAGAAUCCUUCCCUAAAGCCUUCACCUUUACCCAUUCUAUCUCUUAGUGUACUAAAGAUCCAUCCGCAUGCAACCAAAAUUUACUAGGUGUUGGCGUAUGCAUAGAUGCAGUGGAAUUUGAUUCAUGGUGGAGCUUCCACACACAAAGGUGAGAUAUCAUUUGACACAUGGAAAUGUUUUCCCAAAUGAUUCUCAAAAAUCAAUUUUUAAAAACACUUCUCUAAAAUAGAAAACAAUAUAUUUAUACUCAAGAACUUAUCUACUCUUUAGAAUAUGUUUGCUACACAAAUCCUCCAAAACUUCAACAAAUAUACUUUGUAAGUUCAAAUAACUAUUUUCUAUUUCUAUUUCCUUAAAAAUGGAACUGUUUUCAAAAAGCUUUGAGCUAAAAACAAUUUUUAAAAACAAAAUGAAUUAAAAAAACAAUUUUUAAAGAACAAAUAGUUGUUUUCACCUACUUUUAAAAACAAGUUUCUAAAAACAUGACCAAACCACCAAUUCCCAUGGCAAGAUAACAAAACACAUCAAAUGCUAUUCUAAAAUGACAUUUAAGUAAAUGAGAGGAGAUCCGCCCCGUGCAACAAAAAUCAACUCAACUCAGAUGGCAGUCAUCCUGUGUUAUCAAACAUCUCAUAUGUUGCAGCUUGCAAUGCAAAGAUGACGAUAUUCCCAUGGGAAAUCCAUGAACAUCCAAGUUGAAAUACCCUCACAUGCAAUAUCAUGAUGUUCUAAGUAUAGCCCUCCAUUUCAAGAUGCAUACAAAACCAGUGGGUUAUGAAUUAUCAUCAUUCAGCCUCACAAGGCCUACCAUUAACAAGAGAACUGCGAGAGAAGCUUAAACACAAGGAAUGUACACAUCUACUCAUCCAUCAUUCAUUGCUUACAUGUUUACCCAAAACAAUCAGAACACCAGCAAAACCAUGUAUCAAAAUUAGCAUAAUCAUAUUGUUUCUACCUGUAAGAUUAUGAUAUGAAGAUAAAAUCUCAUUUCUUCCAUUAGUAUCAGCACCAAUUAGAUUUUCACUGCAUCAUAUAUCCACAGUAGGCAAAUUCCUACUGGGAUGUGAGACAUGAUCCACAGUAUUACUAAGUAAGCUGGUCAAACAAGCCCUCUAGCAGCUAUGGAACUCUCAGAUUUUCCUCCAGUUUGAUAGUGAUUCCCUAGCAACUUUCCCAGCCUUAUUCCACAACCAAAGCAAGAAAUUUAACACUGAUAUAAUCAUCACAAUGGUGCAUAGUAGUUCAACCAGUACAAAGACAAGAAGAACAACAAAAGGAAAAAAAAGCAUAUCUUAGAAAGGGAGUCAACCAAAUUUUACUUAUAAACAGUGCCUAAAAUUGCAAAGUUUCAAUCUGACCAAGGAUACACAAGUGGGAACACAACUAGGCACAUAAUCUUUGAUUCACUACUUUCAAAUAGCAUCCACAAUCUAAUGGGCUACCUAGGAUGGCUAUAAAUCCAACAAUGUGGCAUAAAAUAUGAUAGGAAAUAUUCCCAGAGAUCAGACAUAAUAUCAGAUAUUAUAGAACCAUGACAAGGAUCAUAGCAAAAAUAUAUGCCCGAAUCGCAUUACAGAAGUGAUUCCAAGAAUUAAUACUGCACAUUACUCAGUGAAAACCUGCAUGCAGAUUAAAAAAAAAAAGGUCUACAAUAUCAUCAUAUAGAGGUCUUUCUUUAAUUUUCAAAAUAACACAAAGAACAUUAUAACUUUUGACAGCAGAAGUCAACAAGCACCUCUAGUUAUGGACAUUAUGCCAUGAUCCUAAAACUGAUCAGUGAACAAACAGAACCGGCUAGCUCCAAACCCACCAUUUUUUAUUUGGUAUAUUGCAUAGAUCACAGUUCUAGUCAAUAAAUCAUUAGAUGCACGAUUGAUCAACAAAGAGAAAUUAGAAUUAUGUAUGGACAUUCUAUAAUGAUCCAUACUAGUUUUAAUUUCAAGGCGCUAUGAUUUCAAGGUGAAGUUCAACAAUUAGCAUGCAGUUCAAAAUGAAGUUCAUGCUACAUACAAUCAUGUGUUGCAGUUCAUACUUAAAUAAGAUUUGCCAUACUCACACCAAAAGGACAUUACAAACAUACACGUGCGUGUGAAACUGAAUCUGAAUAUUACAAAUAAUUUCAGAAACGAUUAACCUAGUUCCAAACUUUAAUAAAAUUUGCAUAGGCAACUAAAAAGGAAGAAAUGAACUAUGAACCUUAGACAUGAGACUUACUAAAGAGAUGUAAAGUUAACAUUGAAAGGGUAGAAAAAAGUGGUAUUCUUAUCUUGUUAGUGGAACCAACAUAGGUUAAUUUGUAGUCCUUUUGGUAGAUUUCAUACUGACGAGAUCUCCUUUUCUUUUCUUAGGCAGUAAGCCUUGCCAACAACUCAAAGUUACCAUUGUAUUUGAUAGAACGCAAUACACAUAUCUAUGUUGGUCACUAACUUCAGCAGUUAGUGAAAUCUCGAGCUUUGGUUGUUUCAGCUAGCUUUUCUACCAAGUAGUCAUGCUGAAAACUAAUAGGGAAGAAUUGGCACUCUUCAAGAUGUUGAUCAGAAAUCUUUAACAUUUAAAAUCUUGGGAAGGAUUGCUAGAAUAGAUCAACAAGGUUGCCUUCUCAAGAAGAGCAUCAAGCAUUCAUUUUCUUCCCUCCAAAAUCAAAGUCAUGCAAACAUAAAAAUAAAUCACUCAUUAACAUAACAAAGCCAACAGUACAGAUGGCAAUGAACUCGGGCAGGGACACGUUAGUAACCAGAUACAAAUAAUUAUUCACUAUGACAUAUUAAGGAUAAACCUCAAGAUGUUGAUCAGUUGGCACAUUUGCAAUCUAGGAAAAUACUUUUUGCUAAACAAAAUCAGUUCAAUCCACUAAAGCACCCCUUCUUUAAUAGUAUAGCGCUUUCAUUUUUCUCAUUAACUCACAUAAAUGCAUAAAUAAAAUCACUGAUUAGCAAACUGAAGAAUAAAAACCAAUAAUAUAAAGGCGGAAAAACUCACCCAGAUUCAUGAUAGCGACCAAAUAUAUAUCAUAGCAUAGCAUUAUCAGAGGUAAACUUUCAAGCAAACAAUAUUUAAAAAAAGAAAAAGAAAAAAAGGGCUCAUGUACUCAUCAUUUCACAGUCAUAACCUCUGGAUGCCAAAUUGAAGUUGAUCAUUACCAAACCCCAAAAAUAGAAAUUGUUUAGCUUCUCUAACACUUUACCAACAUUAGAUUUGACCGAUUAAUGAUGAGAAAGAAAGAUUUACUGUGGUGUAUUACACAAGUAUCAUGAAAUACAGCUUGUUUUUUAGCAAAGUUUUUACCAGCCAACAGUUUUAACAAUUAAUUGAUCUUAAUGAUGCUACAAGGACAGACAAGUGUGUCAGUUCCCGACAGAGAAAUGAGGUCAUUAAUAAAAAAACUUCUAAAAACACCUAAAGUGAAAAAUACUUAUGGAGAGUCUGUAAUAUAAAUGUCCAGCACGGCAAGAAAGGAAACAGUAGGACUGCCCUUAUUUCAUGGGUUAGAAACCCAGUCAUGAAAGCAAAAAGCUAUUAAUUCAUUCCCAGUCUUUACAUCUACCAACCAGUUGACAUUCUUUGGCAACAUGCAUAAAACAAACAACACCUAGUUAGCUAAUCUGAUAUCUGAACCAUAAAUCAUAAAACAUACAUCAGUAAUAGAACCUGAUUAUUUCUGAAAUACUCAGCUAUAACAAAGAGAUCAAGAAAUUAUGGGAUCAGGCAAAGGAUUAGUCAAGCAAGCAUGCAUCAGAUAGAUGAUAUCAAUUUAUUCAACUCACAGUAGUCAACAAUUGCAUGCGGGCUUAGAGCCAAAAAUACAAGAGACAUAUUCCUGCAGCAUUUCAAAGAAUGAUAAAGUAAUAAUAAAAGCCAAAAAAGCACCCCCAAGAUCACAUUGUGAAUAAAGAAAACAUCAAGAUGAUUUAAAAAUAAAUACACAAGAUAUUCCAUACAGUGCAGAGAACUUGGUCACCACCAAAGAAUACCAUACAGGGAACAAAAUUAAGCACACAGCCACUCUCCAGCACAAUGCCAAAGAUGCAUGUUAGCAAAAGACCAGAUCAUUAAAAUCCAGGCACAAGUACAGAAACAGCACACUGGAUAUCGGAAAUGAGGGACAAAAGGUGAACGAUUCAGCAUGAAUGUUUACCAAAACCAAUGAAGGCCUGCUGCAAGGAUUAAGAGAUUGAUGACAUAAAGAGUUAGAUACAAGCUUACUAUUGAAAUGUGAGGGCGGAAACAUUUUCCAUUCUAAGGCACCAGGAAAAGCAAGUACAUCAUGUGUUCAUGAAUGCAUGCAAUUGCAAGGCUGCCCGCAUUGCAAAAACGAUAUAAGCAGCAAAGGGAACUGAAAGGGACACCCAUGUAAUGAUUUUUCUUCUUUAGCAAUAAUGAUGUUGACAUUACAACUACCAUCCAUGCUAAAGUCUAAAGCAGCACGAUAAUGAUGAAUUCCACACUAAUUUCUAGUUUAUAAUGAACCAAACUAACCAAACUAACAAAAGAGGCCGAGAAGUGGAACUGGUGCAACACAGUGUUCAUUUAGACCUAUAAAGACAUGAUUAAUGCAAAGGCAAGUUAGGGAUCACACAACACUUUGUGAAUGGGACGACUUUUAAAGGAAAUACCAUCAAUAAUAGACUCCAACACAGUAGUAAAACAGUGCUUGCAAGCAAGACAAAACUGUAACACCAAAAAGCUAAGGCUCAUACCAAAAUGUCUCCUGAUGAUGAAUAAUACCUGCAACUGUAGAUUUCACCUUUAACAAACAAAACCAUAAUGAACAAAAGAGAACCCAAAAAGAAGGAUUAGAAAGAAAAGAAAAGAAAAGGCAGCAAAUACAAAGUAGCAAACAGUGUUUUAUUAUGUCAAAUUUUUCAGAAGCGACAUACGUUUUAGACAAGAAUUAUUAUAAACAGUAGUAAAAUUUAGCUUCUUCGGCAAAUGAUCAAUGAUCCUCUCUGUGCAAUGAGAAAGGCAAACAGAAACGAUCAGGAACAAGAAUAUCAUGAACCAAAAAGCCGAAGCAAAUAGAGAGAGAGAAGGGAGAGAGAUAUAUAUGUUAACAAGAUACAAGUCUACAAGAACAAUUUACCGAAACCCUAUCAAUAAUUAGUAGAUAGAAGAGGAAUUAGACUACAAUGUCAUUCCACCG